rnacentral:rRNA from 1 species
ACGCACGCUGGCGGCAUGCCUAACACCUGCCAGUCGAACGAGACCUUCGGGUCUAGUGGCGCACGGGUGCGUAACGCGUGGGAACCUGCCCUUAGGUUCGGAAUAACUCCCCGCAAGGGGUGCUAAUACCGGAUAAUGUCUUCGGACCAAAGAUUUAUCGCCUUUGGAUGGGCCCGCGUUGGAUUAGCUAGUUGGUAGGGUAAAAGCCUACCAAGGCGACGAUCCAUAGCUGGUCUGAGAGGAUGAUCUGCCACACUGGGACUGAGACACGGCCCAGACUCCUACGGGAGGCAGCAGUGGGGAAUAUUGGACAAUGGGCGAAAGCCUGAUCCAGCAAUGCCGCGUGAGUGAUGAAGGCCUUAGGGUUGUAAAGCUCUUUUACCCGGGAUGAUAAUGACAGUACCGGGAGAAUAAGCUCCGGCUAACUCCGUG